ensembl:lncRNA
GGUGUGGACACCCAACACUGUGAACACAAUAACUCAUGAAUGAGGCAACACAGGAUUUUCAAAUUGAUAUCAAAGGUGUAUUUAUCUGGAGGCUGAGGACAAAAACUGUGAGCCACCGGCAAUUUUUACACACCAAGGAAAAGUGUUAGAAUUAAGAUGUUACUGACAAUCAUGACUAAUAAUGUCUUUAUUUGCAGAAAAAUCAGCCUCUGCAGCAGCUGAAUAUGUCAUUUAUUCUGAAGUCAAGUCACAACCAGCUCUUGAUUACAGCCUGUUGUAUGCAGAGGUCUCCCACAACAGAGCUAAAGUCAAGAUACUUUAAGGGAAAUCAGCCCCUGCAGCAGCUGAUGAAGCAGUUUAUUCUGAAGUCAAAUCAAAACGAGUUGUUAGUAAUACAGAAAUAAAAUAGCUUACAUACUGUGAUUUGUUGUUGUAAUGAUUAACUCAGAGUGAACUGAGUCCCAAAUCACCUUUAAACACUGAAUAAUUCUGCAUUGAUUUGAAUUUAACAGCACUGGAAGAAAGUAGAGGAACAACAAAAGAAGAUUACGAUUAACUUUUUUAUGAAAAGUUUUCUUUCAUUUUAAAAAAGCUGCAGCAGCAAGUGAUAGUGUGGCGUUAGGAUCAGGAUCUUUCCACUUUCACAUACGCAUUUAUUGAACUGCAUAUAUUGUUACAUAUAUAUUUACAGAUGUGUCCUUUGUCUUUGCAAAUCAUUAUUUUUGUUCCUCUGGAUGGAUUAAGA